GCGGAAGUGGCGGAAUUGGUAGACGCACCAGAUUUAGGUUCUGGCGCCGCAAGGUGUGAGAGUUUAAGUCUCUCCUUCCGCACCA
rnacentral:tRNA from 1 species